rnacentral:lncRNA from 1 species
UUCAUUGGAAAAAUUGACUAACCAUUAAAUAAAUUGCGAGGCCUUGCUAUAAAACCCUGUCUUCUGAUAAUAGUUUUCAUUCACAAAUCCCUUCAAAGAAAAUAGAAAGAUCGUUUUAUAUCAAAAAUAUAGGAAUAUGGCAAAGUCACUAGUGAGCUACACAACCUUUCUUGCUCUCCUCUUGUGCUUCCUCCUAAUUUCAUCCAAUGGUUGGUACUUCUAUUAUAUCCAAAAUAUAGGAAUAUGGCAAAGUCACUAGUGAGCUACACAACCUUUCUUGCUCUCCUCUUGUGCUUCCUCCUAAUUUCAUCCAACGGUUGGUACUUCUUCAUUAUCAUUUCAUUUGUGAAUAUUAAAUGCAUCUACUUUAAUUCCAAAAAAUCAGUGUUUUUACGACAAAAUAAUGGUAUAUAUACCCGACUAUGAAGCUAGUUAUAGUCAGUCUCUAUGUAAGCUAUCAUAAAAACGGAAGUUGUUACUACAGUAGAUGCUUAAUCCGAUCGCUCUUAAUUCUUGGACCGACUGGAAAAGAUGCAAAGCUAAGACAGAGAUGGUAUUUGGACCAAAACUACAAUCUAAUAUUACAAAAAGUUGCAAAGCGUCAUUAUAAAUUUAUUAAUUUUAUGCUAGUUGUUAACUUGCUAUAAUCCUUUCAUAGUACAUGCAGCUAGCACCUAGCUAUUCCUUUGCACGCUCAUAUACGAACUCGCUAAUAUGAAACCAUUAUCAUUGUUGUUAUAAUUUAUGAUAAGAAACAUAUAUUUCAACAUUUGUUCGAAGAAAUUUAUAUAUUCCAAUUCGAAUAUAUGAUUUUAGCCACAAAAAAAAAAAAAACUUCUAAUAAGUUUUUCCAUGCAGAGAUGCAAGUGGCUGAGGGCAAAGUUUGCCGAUGGAAGAGCAGGAAUUAUAGUACUCGCUUUUGUUCGUUCAGCGAGAUCUGCAGCCUAGCGUGCAUAGGAGAGUAUGCAAAGGCAACCAAGGGUCAGUGUAUUAGAAAAGGUUGGGGUCGUUAUUGCUUCUGCCACCGCAAGUGUUAAUAAACAUCAAAUGCUCGUAGAACUCUCGUUUCUUAUACUUGAUAAAAAAUAAAAAAUGGUGUGUUGUGUCUUUGUGUGAAAGAAACAUUCACUAUGAAUCCAUUGACUUUCAGUGAUUGUAAGGAAAUAGUACUAAAUUAUGUUUGUAUUGUGAUAUUGUACAUUUUCUUCUUUGAGUCAGUACCGUAGUUUUUGGGGUCAAGAGACAAGUAAUCUCCAUUAUUUAAAGAAAUUAUUCAUGGUCAUUCUGAUUGAAUCGACUCCAUGUUAUUAUUAUUAGUCUGAUGAUGUUGAAGAAUUUCCAUUUCAUUUAGCACUGAAAAAGAUGACUGAAGGAAGUACUACAUGUUUGCAAUACACUUGCUAGAAGUUAGAAUCAACCAUCAAAUGUUUCUUAUUGUUAG